rnacentral:rRNA from 1 species
GAUGAACGCUGGCGGCGUGCUUAACACAUGCAAGUCGAACGGAAAGGCGCUGCUCUUGUGGGGUGCACGAGUGGCGAACGGGGGAGUAAAACGUGUGUAACCUGCACUUGACUUUGGGAUAACUUCAGGAAAAUGGGGCUAAUACCGGAUAGGAGCUCCUGAUGCAUGGUGGGGGUUGGAAAGUUUCGGCGGUUGGGGAUGGACUCGCGGCAUAUCAGCUUGUUGGUGGAGUAGUGGUUGACCAAGGCUUUGACGGGUAGCCGGCCUGAGAGGGUGACCGGCCACAUUGGUCCUGCGGUACGGCCCAGACUCCUACGGGAGGCAGCAGUGGGGAAUAUUGCGCAAUGGGCGCAAGCCUGAGGCAGCAACGCCGCGUUCGUGAUGACGGCCUUCUGGUUGUAAACCGCUUUCGCCGGUGACGAAGCGUUAUUGACGGUAAUGGGUAAAGAAGCACCGGCUAACUACGUG